GUGGGUUUUCUCCGGGUACUCCGGCUUCCUCCCACAGUCCAAAAAUAUGUUGAGGUUAAUGGAUGGAUGGAUGAAGGACGGGAGAGGAGAGCAGCUGCGGAGGGCUGCUGAGCAUCCAUUACGUCCCGCUCUAUCUCCCCACACAUCCACCAACCACUAGAACACAUCUCCAAAGUUCAGAUGAAGCUCAGCUUCCCCUCAGAAGAAGUGCCGCCAGACGAAGGAGCCUUUUGAGAGGCAGCUGGCAUCGAGAUUGGACGGUACUUUGGUUUGUUCCAGUCCAGCUUCAGCUCCAGAGACAGCAGGCGGGAUGAGUCAACGGAGGCCGGGUGGACGAAGGCAUGCAGCUGAGUACAAUAAAGAAAAGACCAGAAGAGGAGUGCAGUGGCCCAGAGCCAAAAGUAACAGAGUAGCAUGGUAUGUCUCUUGGAAAACAUCAUAGUAUAGCCUUUGGUAUGAAAAACACCAUCAUAUACAUCAUAUAUUGUACAAAUAACAAGUCAAAGGAAAGAGACAUAUAUUGUAAAAUUGUAGUAAUUGUGGGCUGACUGAUUUACUGAUUAUCAGUGUUUUAUUUUCUACUGAUUUACGGUAAUAAAUACAUUUAAAAACGGC